AAGGCAAGAGCUCAAGAGGGCAGCACGCAAGGAGAAGAAAAUGAAUGGAUCUAUGGUGGCAAAAAUUAAAAAAAAAAUCCAGGAACCAUUGGUAUAAAACUCUGGAUACCAAAGGAGCCCUCCUCUCUGUUCCUCCGUCCAAGCAUCAGGAAAGUCAAUACAAUGAUCAGAACUAUCCUGAGGACUGAUAUGUCUGGGAACUGUUCUGAUCACCACCACCGCCACCACCAAGCAGGAGUAUACACGUGCACUAAGGCAGCAACUGGGAAACAUGCUGGGCAUAGAACAUUGAUGGCUAUUCACAGCAAAGAGCCUGCUUGGCCCUGGUUUCCAAGUCAUCAUCAGCUGGCCUACAACCCCAAUAGUUCUGAUACUUCAGAGACCAGACUUAAUGUCCAAGGGAACCACAUAGCUCUCCAGAAGAGGAGGAGCUGGAACCAGAUGAUGACACAGACCAAUCUGGAGAUACAGUUUGAUGGAGAUGGAGUUGUAGAGGAACCAACUAUCAGCAGAUGGAAUGUGGAAGAGAAAAAGAUUUGGCAUGACAGAGAACCAUAAUACGGAAAACCAUCCAUCCCCAGUGAAUGAAACUGGGCCCCGGCCAGAUAUGCAGACUGUUAGGUAUCGUGGAGGGCUUCCAAUCUGUCCCAUGGGCAGGGGUGUCAUUUGCCUCUUAAAAUAAUGAAAAGGAAGGUCCUGUGUCUACUCCAAUGCACCCUAAAAGAUAGCCUGAUAAUAGUAGUUGAUGGCUGCAUUUCUUCCUGCCCCAGAAUCCCUCGCUAUCUACCACAUUCUGCA
ensembl:lncRNA